rnacentral:rRNA from 1 species
AACGAACGCUGGCGGCAUGCCUAACACAUGCGAGUCGAACGAGACCUUCGGGUCUAGUGGCGCACGGGUGCGUAACGCGUGGGAACCUGCCCUUAGGUUCGGAAUAACUCCCCGAAAGGGGUGCUAAUACCGGAUAAUGUCUUCGGACCAAAGAUUUAUCGCCUUUGGAUGGGCCCGCGUUGGAUUAGCUAGUUGGUAGGGUAAAAGCCUACCAAGGCGGCGAUCCAUAGCUGGUCUGAGAGGAUGAUCAGCCACCCUGGGACUGAGACACGGCCCAGACUCCUACGGGAGGCAGCAGUGGGGAAUAUUGGAAAAUGGGCGAAAGCCUGAUCCAGCAAUGCCGCGUGAGUGAUGAAGGCCUUAGGGUUGUAAAGCUCUUUUACCCGGGAUGAUAAUGACAGUACCGGGAGAAUAAGCUCCGGCUAACUCCGUG